rnacentral:lncRNA from 1 species
GCAGCACCUAAGUUGACCUUAGGUCGGGUUCGGGAGUUGUGGUCUACUUUAUUGUAUCAUCAGUUUCAUCCUCUAAUUUAUUGUCAGAUUUUUAUAUUUUUGAUUAUACUAUAUUAGUUAAGCAUUAUGAAAUGUCAGUGAUUUUUUUUUUAAAUAUCUAAGAAAUAAAAUAUCUAGAUUACUAGUAAAAUCAACUAUUCUUGAUAUUAAAGCACCAGUCCCCGGC